rnacentral:lncRNA from 1 species
AUUCUCUUCAAUCUUCUCAAUAUCUCUCAUUCUCUCUCAUCAACGGUGAUUCCCUCUCCUCCACUUUCAGCCAUGUCGACCGUCGCUCAAACCAAGCCCAGAAACCGCUGCAGCAAAGAAGCCACUUUCUCAUCCCACUUUCGCUGAGAGAAACUGAAGCAAUCACAAACCUGAAAGAAAGAACCGGUUCAAGCCAAUAUGCUGUAACAAAAUUCAUCAAAGAGAAACACGAGGACUUACCUCCAACUUACCGUAAGCUUGUUCUCCUCCAUCUCAAGAAAUCCGUCGCUUCAGGAAAGCUUGUCAAGAUCCCAGCUUCGGCAUUAAGCUAAUUGUGUCGCCAAAUCCUCAAAAUUGAAGAGUGUACAAGUUUGAAAUGUAGACAUUGUGGUUGGUCUUGAAGGUGAGAUUCCCGAUAGCAAACAUCUUCAGAAGUGGUGCGAGUCGGUCAGCCAAUGUAAGUCAUACUUGCACGGCUACUCACUCUUCUCCAUUAAACUCCGACUGAAAAUACCGCCUGCUAUCCAUUCCCUCCAUGCGUGCAAAUCCUCAGCUUCACUCUAAUCAAAAACCAAACACAACACCUCCAAACUUUCGGGACAUAACCGCUACAACCACCGCUUCCAACUCCCUUCAAUACCUCCAUCAAAACCUCUAUUUCCUUCUUCGCAUUCAAAUCCACUCACCAUCAAACGACCCUUCACCAUAUCAUAUCCUUAAACCCCAAACGACUUGGCUCUGCGACACUUGCAAACCAUUUGCAUUUGCGAAGUCUCCAACAAACUCGCGCAGCCACCAACACUCCUUUUUCUAGGUUAAUAAAACCCACUUCUCAUUCUCUUCUCAUUCUCUUCUCUUGUUCUUCUUCUCUCUAGUUUACCUAUCAGGAAAGUCACCAUGGUUGAUCAGGUUCAGCGCCCUAAACUCUUCUAGAAUGUUGCACGCCAUACCGGUCUUUCAAUGUACCAACAAAGGUCAUUUGGAAAUUACGCCAACCUUGCAUUUCAGUAUCCAGUGAUGCCGGCAUGUCAAGCUACAAUGACUGAUUUCUCUACUAUUGCAACAACUGCUUCCCCUAUAUUUGUUGCAGCUCCUGUUGAGAAAGGAAACUUUCCUGUUGAUUUUCUCAUGGGAGGAGUUUCGGCUGCUGUAUCAAAAACUGAUGCUGCUCCCAUUGAGCGAAUUAAGCUUUUGAUCCAGAACCAAGAUGAGAUGAUUAAAGCUGGUAGACUUUCUGAACCCUAUAAGGGAAUUGGUGACUGUUUUAAGAGAACAACUACUGAUGAAGGUAUUGUUUCACUAUGGAGAGGUAACACUGCAAACGUCAUCUGUUAUUCCCCACUCAGGCUUUGAAUUUUGCAUUCAAGGACUACUUCAAGAGGCUUUUCAAUUUCAAUAAGGACAAAGAUGGUUACUGGAAGUGGUUUUCUGGUAACUUGGCCUCAGGAGCACGAAUCUAAACCAUAGCCACCAAUAUUCAUCGCUGAAGCACAAAAACCUCAUCAAAACAUGCCACGCUAUAAAUCUGAAACGAAAAGAAGAAAGCACUUUGUUAAGACUUUCAUCGAACACGUUCUGUGCAAGGUGAAAUUUCAUGUUUUCAAAUGAUUUGGUAACACAACUCUCACAACAACAAUAUUAUAAGAUCAAAGCAAAACAGUGAAAUACAAAGAGAUGCAUCAGAAGGAAACUCCACUCAACACGCCGGAGCAUCGCGUUCAUCAAAUUCAUUCCACCCUCAAACGAAAAGAUCGAAAUAAAGCUCACCUUGAGGUUCGGGGUACUCUUCUGCUCGUGGUUGAUUUGGACGAAGAUGAAGCUUUCAGUUUCGACUCCGUGGAUUGAGAUGAAGAGAACAAAGUUAUUGUUGACGCGUAUGAGUGCGAGAAUGGAAUCGCGAUUCAAAUCGUUGUAUUGAUGAUGAAGAGUGUGGAAUCGCGAAUCCGUGAAGAAGAGCACGGUAUCACAUUUUGAAUCGGUGAAGAAGAGCACGAAAUCGCCAUUUUGAAUCGGUGAAGAAGAGCACGAAAUCACCAUUUUGAAUCGGUGAAGAAGAGCACGAAAUCGCCAUUUUGAAUCAUUGGAGAAAUAACAUGCGUGAUGGUGAAUCCGUUCGACAUCUGUGCUGAAGGAUGACGAAUCGCUAGAUUCGUGUUCAUCGUCAGUCAUUAAUUGUUGGCGUUCGUGGCUUGGUACGUUGGUUUGUGACGGUGGCUUUUUGUUGUUGAACGGGCUUGUUUGUUGAAAGUGGUCCGGCGGAUUAGAAUUGUCAAAAGAAUGAAUGAAGCAAAUAGCACCCGUCCUAUGUGGAAAUUGAAAUGAGUAAUAGGAAUUACCACUAACAGAUCUGCCGCCUCCCUCCCUGCGCUUUCUCUCUCAAUUUAAGGUUUUCUUUAUUUAUCUAUUUCUAUUCUCUUUAUUUUAUUAUUUAAAUAAUUUCUCAUGAUUUAUUUUCAGGUUUAGUAUCAUGUGGCAUGGGCCUUAGGCCCAUGUUUAACAUGUUUGUCUUUAUUUUUACACUCCUCUUUGUUACUAACAGUUAUUUUAUUUGAUUUGAUUUAAUUGAUUAGUUGUCUUUUAAUUAAUAUUUGGAAUGUUGGAUUGUUUGUUUAUAAGUUUUAGUUUUAGUUUUUUUUUCUUUUUUUUUCUUUUUCUAACUUCUUAACAUUGUAAAUAGUGUACUGGUGUAAAGAUAGUUUGAUUAGUUGUUGCAUCGAUUCCUUUGCAUUGCAAUCUCAGGGUUAAAAUUCAAUUUAAUUUUCGAAAAUCAUUUGGAUGCAUAGAUUUAGUUACUCGGUUUAUGAAAUGAUUCUUACAUGAUCCACUCUAAGUUACCUUAGAGCUAAAUUCGGCUGCUUUCAAUUUCGGUUGGUUUCAGGUCACAUGGCUUACUCUUGGGCCUCCUUACAACGAGUUUUUUAAGCAAUAUCAAUUUAAUUUUCAACAAUUUCAAACCUUUGUACGUUAAUCAUUUUAAAUUUAUUCAAAUCAUUUUCAUAAGUGAAUCUGAAGAAAAAGAUUAUCCUGGAUGGAAUAUCUCAUUUUAAAUUUAUUCAAAUCAUUUUCAUAAGUGAAUCUGAAGAAAAAGAUUAUCCUGGAUGGAAUAUCCAGUCAUAAUCCCGAAUAUUAGGCUCGAGCUGUAAGAGCUUGUAAGCCAUAAAUAUUCAUCUUCUAUCCAAAACGCCUGUAAAUAUCUCAAACCAUCUUCUUAAUAAAAUUUGAAGAAAAAGAUUAUCCUGGAUGGAGUAUUCAGUUAUAAUCCCGAGUAUUGGGCUCAAGCUGUAAGAGCUUGUAAGCCAUAAAUAUCCGUCUUCCCUCUAAAACAUUCGUAAAUAUUCAAACCAUUUUCUUAACAAAUCGGAAAGAAACAGACUGCCUGGGUGGAAUAUCCAGACGUAGUCCCGACUAUUAGACCCAAGCUGUAAGAGCUUGCAAGUCACAAGUACUCGUCUUUCAAACUUCAAAAUACUUAAUUCCGAUCUUAACCUCUUUCAAUAGAGAUGGAAAUGGAACAUGGUGUAUACUGUGCACUCCUGAGAUUAAGAUUCGAGGCGGAUGCCUCGCCUAUCUUAGCUCUCGCCAUCGUUUAAAAUUGUCAAUGCGGUUUCUUCAAACCCCUUUUUCAAUCAAAUUCAAAACACUUAAUUCUUAUUAAACAUUUUUUUAAAUAAGAUGGAAAUGGAACAUGGUGGAUACCACGCACUCCUGAGACUAGGAUUCGAGAUGGAUAUCUCGCUCAUCCAAGUUCUCGCCAUUACUCAAAAAUACACCCAACCAAUCAAACUCUUUUCUCGCCGCCGUGCGAUUAAUCAAUCGCCAUUACUCAAAAAUACACCCAACCAAUCAAACUCUUUUCUCGCCGCCGUGCGAUUAAUCAAAAAACCUUUUUCAUAAACGAAAGAUAUAUUGUCUUAAGGUGAUGCAAAACAAUGUUUCAGCCACGAUUGUUGAGUCGAGAUAAGUGACGUUUUUCCGAAUGAUGAUUUGUAAAUCCAUUCGAUGUGUGGUAUACGUCCGCUCCUCAUCUGUUUUGGGUAAAACAAUGUUUUCAUCGGUUAAUAAAAUAUAGAUUUCGCUAAAAUCGACCAACAAACAAACAUUUUCUACCCCGAACUACGUAAGCCUUGAUUUCUCUGUUGAGAUACGUAGGAGCAGGAUUUGUAAAUCUUGUCAGGCCCACUAAUAAAAAACCUAGGUUUAGUCCUUCGUCAAAAAUCCAAAAACAUUUUUCUCUCUUCUAUUCUUUCUUUCCCACUUAAUAACUCGAAAAGCCUAACAUUUCAAACUAACAUUAAUGCACACAACUAACCUAAUGGGUCCCGUUGAGUACAACGGACGUGAAGGGUGCUAAUACCUUCCCCUUGCGUAAUCGACUCCCGAACCCUGAUUUGGUUGCGACGACCAAUAAUCAUUGUCGUUUUGUCUUGGGUUUUAUCGAUAUUUCCCCUUUCCUUUUUAGGAAUAAAUAAUUGCGUAAUCGACUCCCGAACCCUGAUUUGGUUGCGACGACCAAUAAUCAUUGUCGUUUUGUCUUGGGUUUUAUCGAUAUUUCCCCUUUCCUUUUUAGGAAUAAAUAAAGUUCGGUGGCGACUCUGUUAAGUCCAUCAUGCGAGCGUGCGAUUGCGCUUCGCUAAGUCGUGUUCUCGUUUUUCGAGGUGCGACAGAUGGCGACUCUGCUGGGGACUCAUUUCCCUAAGUGAGUCAAGCCUAGUUAGGUCGUUUGUGUGCCUUUGUUUGUCUACUUGUGUGGUUUUUCUUUAUUGCUUUUUCUAUCUUUAUUGUCAUAUUGAUAUAAUCUGAUGUAUUGGUUCCAUUAUGCUUUGGUACUUGGAGAUACUCUGAUUACAAACCUUGUGGGAAAGACUUUUUACCCGAGUCUCGAGUAAAAACAUAAGAUAGGACGAGGUUGAGUAGUGCAGGUCCGCGAGAUGUAUUUCUCGUUGGGUCGGUGCGAGAACCUUACUUAGAGUAGAUUCUUGAGAGGAUGUUGUCGCUCGGCAAGUAAGUUGCCGUAAGCUUCGAUAUUUUCUUUAGGAUCCAUGACUCUGAGAACCAUUUGUUUGAGAGGAUGUUGUCGCUCGGCAAGUAAGUUGCCGUAAGCUUCGAUAUUUUCUUUAGGAUCCAUGACUCUGAGAACCAUUUGUAGAACCUUAGUUCUUUGUCCAACUAGGAAGGAUGGUUGCGUAGUGUGGGUCCGCGAGAUGAAUUUCUCGUUAGAUCGAUGCGAGAACCUCACUUAGAGUAGAUUCUUUGGAUGAAGUUGAUGCCCGGCAAGUAAGUUGCCAUAGGCCGCAAACAGUCUAAUGGAUCCAUGACUCUGGGAACCUUUGUAACCCUAGAUCGUACCCGGUGAGAACCUAUUCUUGGAAAGUAAUCAGAUUCAUCAGUACCUCAGACUUUUGAACCCGUGUAUUGAGGAAAAAAACAAAUAUGCAUGGCUUGCAUUGCAUUCAUUCACAUUUCAUUGCAUCUGCAUCUCAUCAUAAUGCAUGUCAUUUUCCAGACAAAAUACCAAAAAAAAACUCAUCCAUCCUUUGCCCAUGAUCAGCAAAGUGAUUAUCGACACGCGUAUAGAACAAAGAACCAUGUCUAAGGAAAAUUCAAGAAGCAUUGAAGGAGGAAGGCUUAGGUACAUAUAUCUGGAUUUCUGGGCCAAGUAAUGUGAAAGGGAAAGGACCCCUGAAACCCCUCAAGGUUUUGUACCACAAGGAAGAGGUCAAGGAUGUGGCUAAUGAGAUAUCAUCAUUUCCUGGUAAGAGCAUUGAGAUAUUGUGAAAGGGAAAGGACCCCUGAAACCCCUCAAGGUUUUGUACCACAAGGAAGAGGUCAAGGAUGUGGCUAAUGAGAUAUCAUCAUUUCCUGGUAAGAGCAUUGAGAUAUCGCCUUGGAUUUCCAAUUCUCAUGACAUAUAGCCAACUUCUACAACCUCUAAUUCAAAACUCGUUGGUGGUUCCCAAGUCUCUUAAGCCGGUUCCACAACCUUACCCACCAGGGUAUGACCCAAAUGUGCAAUGUGGAUAUCAUGCUGGAUCAUAAGGGCAUUAAACCGAAGACUGCAACGCUUUCAAAGCCAAAGUACAACAGUUGAUUGACAACGAGUACAUAGCCUUUCAAGAAGGAAGCUUGGUGGUAAACGUUAACCUAUCAGCCGAAUAAGUGCGAAGAUCUCAAGGGAUGUCCCCCGAAGUUAACGGAUCAAGUUCGAAGAAGUCAAUUCCCUAAAGCUGACGAUCAUUUGGCGGUUUCAGCAUUUCUUUUGUAAUUUCCUUGCAUGUUGAUUGGCGGUUGCUUUUAAGCAUUGUUGUUUUCUUUGAAUUGGUAAGAUUAAUCAAAUGUUUAUGCAUCUUUUGAAUCAAUCUAUUCGUAUUCACUCGUUUUUCAUUUAUGUUAAAAAAAAAAAAGAGAGAUCCCUCCGCAACCGCUCAAAAUAUUGACCUAACGACCCUUAACAACCUCCAUAAACCUCGAGACUCCUCCAAAAUUGCAUCCAAAUCUCUCACUUCAAUCUGUCUCAAUACUACCUCAUUCAGCACGACAUAUCACCAACGGUGAAGUCCCUCACUCAACCCACCACUUUCAGCCAUGUCGACCGUCGCUCAACACCACCAAGCCCAGAGAAACGCUGCAGCAAAGAAGCCACUUUCUCAUCCCACUUUCGCGUGAGAUGAUAACUGAGGCAUCACAAAUGAAAGAAAGAACGGUUCAAGCCAAUAUGCUGUAACAAAUUCAUCAAAGAGAACACGAGGACUUACCCUCCAACUUACCGUAAGCUUGUUUCUCUCCAUCUCAAAAAAUUCCGUCGCUUCAGGAAAGCUUGUCAAGAUCCCAGCUUCGGCAUUAAGCUAAUUGUGUCGCCAAAUCCUCAAAAUUGAAGAGUGUACAAGUUUGAAAUGUAGACAUUGUGGUUGGUCUUGAAGGUGAGAUUCCGAUAGCAAACAUCUUCAGAAGUGGUGCGAGUCGGUCAGCCCAAUGUAAGUCAUACUUGCACGGCUACUCAUCUUCUCCAUAACUCCGACUGAAAAAUACCGCCUGCUAUCCAUUCCUCUCAUGCGUGCAAAUCCUCAGCUUCACUCUAAUCAAAAACCAAACACACCUCCAACCUUUCGGGACAUAACCGCUACAACCACCGCUUCCAACUCCCUUCAAUACUCCAUCAAAACCUCUUAUUUCCUUCUUCGCAUUCAAAAUCCACUCACCAUCAACGACCUUACCAUAUCAUAUCUUAAACCCCAAACGACUUGGCUCUCGACACUUGCAAACCAUUUGCAUUUGCGAAGUCUCCAACAAACCUCGCGCAGCCAACCAACCUUUUCUAGGUUAAUAAACCCACUUCUCAAUUCUCUUCUCUUGUUCUUCUUUCUCUAGUUUACCUAUCAGGAAAGUCACCAUGGUUGAUCAGGUUCAGCGCCCUAAACUCUUCUAGAAUGUUGCACGCCAUAGCUGGUCUUUCAAUGUACCAACAAAGGUCAUUUGGAAUUACGCCAACCUUGCAUUUCAGUAUCCAGUGAUGCCGCAUUGUCAAGCUACAAUGACUGAUUUCUCUACUAUUGCAACACUGCUUCCCCUAUAUUUGUUGCAGCUCCUGUUUGAGAAAGGAACUUUCCUGUUGAUUUUCUCAUGGGAGGAGUUUCGGCUGUCUGUAUCAAAACUGAUGCUGCUCCAUUGAGCGAAUUAAAGCUUUUGAUCCAGACCAAGAUGAGAUGAUUAAAGCUGGUAGACUUCUGAACCGUAUAGGAAAUGGUGACUGUUUUUAAGAGAACAACUACUGAUGAAGGUAUGUUUUCAUCACUAUGGAGAGGUAACACUUGCAGAACUGCAUCAUCUGUUAUUCCACUCAGGCUUUGAAUUUUGCAUUCAAGACUACUUCAAGAGGCUUUUCAAUUUCAAUAAGGACAAAGAUGGUUACUGGAAGUGGUUUUCUGGUAACUUUGGCCUCAAGCAGCAGAAUCUAAACCAUAGCCACCAAUAUCAUCGGUGAAGCACAAAAACCUCAUCAAAACAUGCCACGCUAUAAAUCUGAAACGAAAGAAGAAAGCACUUUGUUAAGACUUUCAUCGAACACGUUCUGUGCAAGGUGAAAUUUCAUGUUUUCAAAUGAUUGGUAACACAACUCUCACAACAACAAUAUUAUAAGAUCAAGCAAAACAGUGAAAUACAAAGAGAUCAUCAGAAGGAAACUCCACUCAACCACGCCGGAGCAUCGCGUUCAUCAAAUUCAUUCGCACCCUCAACGAAAAGAAUCGAAUAAAGCUCACCUUGAGGUUCGGGGUAUCUUCUGCUCGUGGUUGAUUUGGACGAAGAUGAAGCUUUCAGUUCGACCGUGGAUAUGAGAUGAAGAGACAAAGUUAUUGUUGACGCGUAUGAGUGCGAGAAUGGAAAUCGCGAUUCAAUCGUUGUAGUUGAUGAUGAAGAGUGUGGAAUCGCGAAUCCGUGAAGAAGAGCACGGUAUCAACAUUUUGAAUCGGUGAAGAAGAGCACGAAAUCGCCAUUUUAAAUCGGUGAAGAAGAGCACGAAAUCACCAUUUUGAAUCGGUGAAGAAGAGCACGAAACGUCGCAUUUUGAUCAUUGGAGAAUAACAUGUGAUGGUGAAUCGUUCGAAUCUGUGCUGAAGGAUGACGAAUCGCAGAUUCGUGUUCAUCGUCAGUCAUUAAUUGUUGGCGUUCGUGGCUUGGUACGUUGGUUUGUGACGGUGGCUUUUUGUUGUGACGGUGGCUUUGUUGAAUGUCGCGAUUAGAAUUCAAGAAUGAUGAGCAAUACACGUCCUAGUGAAAUUGAAAUGAGUAAUAGGAAUUACCAACUAACAGAUCUGCCCGCCUCCUCCCUGCGCUUUCUCUCUCAAUUUAAGGUUUUCUUUAUUUAUCUAUUUCUAUUCUCUUUAUUUUAUUAUUUAAAUAAUUUCUCAUGAUUUAUUUUUCAGGUUUAGUAUCAUGUGGGCAUGCCUUAGGCCAUGUUAACAUGUUUGUCUUUAUUUUUACACUCCUCUUUGUUAGCUAACAGUUAUUUUAUUUGAUUUGAUUUAAUUGAUUAGUUGUCUUUUAAUUAAUAUUUGGAAUGUUGGAUUGUUUGUUUAUAAGUUUUAGUUUUUAGUUUUUUUUCUUUUUUUUCUUUUUCCUAACUUCUUAACAUUGUAAAUAGUGUACUGGUGUAAAGAUAGUUUGAUUAGUUGUUGAGAUCGAUUCCUUUGCAUUGCAAUCUCAGGUUAAAAAUUCAAUUUAAUUUUCGAAAAUCAUUUGGAUGCAUAGAUUUAGUUACUCGUUUAUGAAAUGAUUCUUACAUGAUCACUCUAAGUUACCUUAGAGCUAAUUCGCUGCUUUUCAAUUCGGUUGUUUUCAGGUCACAUGGCUUACUCUUGGCCUCCUUAACAACGAGUUUUUAAGCAAUAGUCAAUUUAAUUUUCAACAAUUUCAAACCUUUGUACGUUAAUCAUUUUAAAUUUAUUCAAAUCAUUUUCAUAAGUGAAUCUGAAGAAAAGAUUAUCCUGGAUGGAAUUAUCCAGUCAUAAUCCCCGAAUAUUAGGCCUCGAGCUGUAAGAGCUUGUAAGCCAUAAAUAUUCAUCUUCAUCGAAACGCCUGUAAUAUCUCAAACCCAUCUUCUUAAUAAAAUUGAAGAAAAAGAUUACCUGGAUGGAGUAUUCAGUUAUAAUCCCGAGUAUUGGGCUCAAGCUGUAAGAGUUGUAAGCCAUAAAUAUCCGUCUUCCCCUCUAAAACAUUCGUAAAUAUUCAAACCAUUUUCUUAACAAAUCGGAAAGAAACAGACUGCCUGGGUGGAAUAUCCAGACGUAGUCCCGACUAUUAGACCACCAAGCUGUAAGAGCUUGCAAGUCAAAGUACUCGUCUUUCAAACUCCAAAAUACUUAAUUCCGAUCUUAACCUCUUUCAAUAGAGAUGGAAAUGGAACAUGGUGUAUAUGUGGCACUCCUGAGAUUAAGAUUCGAGGCGGAUGCCUCGCCUAUCUAGCUCUCGCCAUCGUUUAAAUUGUCAAUUGCGGUUUCUUCAAACCCCUUUUUCAAAUCAAAUUCAAAACACUUAAUCUUAUUAAAACAUUCUUUUUAAAUAAUAAGAUGGAAAUGGAACAUGGUGGAUACCACGCACUCCUGAGACUAGGAUUCGAGAUGGAUAUCUCGCUCACAUCCAAGUUCUCGCCAUUACUCAAAAUAACCCAACCAAUCAAACUCUUUUCUCGCCGCCGGGUGCGAUUAAUCAAAAACCUUUUUCAAUAAACGAAAGAUAUAUUGUCUUAGGUGAUGCAAAACAAUGUUUCAGCCACGAUUGUUGAGUCGAGAUAAGUGACGUUUUUCCGAUGAUGAUUUUGUAAAUCCAUUCGAUGUGUGUAUACGUCGCUCCCAAUCGUUUUGGGUAACAAUGUUUUCAUCGGUUAAUAAAAUAUAGAUUUCGCUAAAAUCGACCAACAAACAAACAUUUUCUACCCCCGAACUACGUAAGCUUGAUUUCUCUGUUGAGAUACGUAGGAGCAGGAUUUGUAAAUUUUGUCAGCCCACUAAAUAAAAAACCUAGGUUUAGUCUUCGUCAAAAAUCCAAAAACAUUUUUCUCUCUUCUAUUCUUUCUUUCCCGCACUUAAUAACUCGAACAAAGCCUAACAUUUCAAACUAACAUUAAUGCACACAACUAACCUAAUGGGUCCCGUUGAGUACAACGGACGUGAAGGGUGCUAAUACCUUCCCUUUGCGUAAUCGACUCCGACUCCUGAUUUGGUUGCGACGACCAUAAUCAUUGUCGUUUUGGUCUUGGGUUUUAUCGAUAUUUCCCUUUCCUUUUUAGGAAUAAAUAAAGUUCGGUGGCGACUCUGUAAGUCCAUCAUGCAGCGUGCGAUUGCGCUUCCGCUAAAGUCGUGUUCUCGUUUUUACGAGGUGCGACAGAUGGCGACUCUGCUGGGACUCAUUUCCCUAAGUGAGUCAAGCCUAGUUAGGGUCGUUUGUGUGCCUUUGUUUGUCUACUUGUGUGGUUUUUCUUUAUUGCUUUUUCUAUCUUUAUUGUCAUAUUGAUAUAAUCUGAUGUAUUGGUUCCAUUAUGCUUUGGUAGCUUGGAGAUACUCUGAUACAAACCUUGUGGGAAAGACUUUUUACCCGAGUCUCGAGUAAAACAUAAGCAUAGGACGAGGUUGAGUAGUGCAGGUCCGCGAGAUGUAUUUCUCGUUGGGUCGGUGCGAGAACCUUACUUAGAGUAGAUUCUUGAGAGGAUGUUGUCGCUCGGCAGUAAGUUGCCGUAAGCUUCGAUAUUCUUGAGGAUCCAUGACUCUGAGAACCAUUUGUAGAACUAGUUCUUUGUCCAACGCCUAGGAGGAUGGUUUGCGUAGUGUGGGUCCGCGGCGAUGAAUUUCUCGUUAGAUCGAUGCGAGAACUCACUUAGAGUAGAUUCUUUGGAUGAAGUUGAUGCCGGCAAGUAAGUUGCCAUAGGCCGCAAACAGUCUAAUGGAUCCAUGACUCUGGGAACCUUUGUAACCCUAGAUUCGUACCCGGUGAGAACCUAUUCUUGAAAGUAAUCAGAUUCUCAGUACCUCAGACUUUUGAACCCGUGUAUUGAGGAAAAAAAAAUAUGCAUGGCUUGCAUUGCAUUCAUUCACAUUUCAUUGCAUCUGGCAUCUCAUCAUAAUGCAUGUCAUUUCUCGCAGACAAAAUACCAAAAAAACUCAUCCAUCUUUGCCCAUGAUCAGCAAAGUGAUUAUCGACACGCCGUAUAGAACAAGAACCAUGUCUAAGGAAAAUUCAAGAAGCAUUGAAGGAGGAGGCUUAGGUACAUAUAUCUGGAUUUCGGCCAAGUAUGUGAAAGGGAAGGACCCUGAAACCCUCAAGGUUUUGUACCACAAGGAAGAGGUCAAGGAUGUGGCUAAUGAGAUUCAUCAUUUCCUGGUAAGCGCAUUGAGAUAUCGCCUUGGAUUUCAAUCUCUCAGACUAGUAGCCAACUUCUACAACGUCUAAUUCAAAACUCGUUGGUGGUUCCCAAGUCUCUUAAGCCGGGUUCACAACCUUACCCACCAGGGUAUGAACCCAAAUGUGCAAUGGGAUAUCAUGCUGAUCAUAAGGGCAUUAAACCGAAGACUGCAACGCUUUCAAAGCCAAAGUACAAACAGUUGAUUUGACACGAGUAAUAGCCUUUCAAGAAGGAAGCUUGGUGGUAAACGUUAACCUAUCAGCCGAAUAAGUGCGAAGAUCUCAAGGGAUGUCGCCCGAAGUUAACGGAUCAAGUUCGAAGAAGUCAAUUCCUAAAGCUGACGAUCAUUUGGCGGUUUCAGCAUUUCUUUUGUAAUUUCCUUGCAUGUUGUUUGGCGGUUGCGUUUUUAAGCAUUGUUGUUUUCUUUGAAUUGGUACAGAUUAAUCAAUGUUUAUGCAUCUUUUGAAUCAAUCUAUUCGUAUUCACUCGUUUUCUCAUUUAUGUUAAAAAAAAAACCAAAAAUACUUCUCUCAUUCACUUUUGUUUAUCAACGUUGUGUUAACAAAGAUUGGAAGGAGGAUGAUGAAAACGAGAACACCUGGACAUUGUUGUGGUAUGCUUUUUGAGUAAACCUUGUCCGGUGAUGUAGGCAAUUUGUUUCAAAUCCCCAACACUGAAGAGAUAAGGAGUUAAUCCGGCUAGUCACGACACUUUGACGCGCUAGAAGUCGGUCGUUAUUUUCGGAUCUAACAGAACCCUUAAUCUUAACCUGGGCAGGGUAGUGUUGUUCACGAUAGUAUGAUCAUGCAUAUCGAUCUUUAAAAAAAUCGUCAUAUGUACACCUGUCNAAAAAUCGUCCAUAUGUACACCCUCCAAUUAGGUUCAACCACAUGUUAUCCUUCGCGCACAUGUUGAGGUGUCGAAGAAGUUGAGAAAAGCUAAAAUUAGUGUUGGUUGAUCCUCAUCCGCCAAUAACCUGACAGUCAACACGUAAAAAAAAAAACAGAAAGAAGUCCGCUAAGUCAAACACCACAAAAUGACUUAGGCAAAAGUCAGGGCAUCCCGAUGGACCGAAAGCUUCAAAGAAGCGGUCCAGGCAAAAUCAGGGAUGAAGAAAAUCAAUCAAAAGAGGUCAUUAAAUCCUCAACAAAAACAAAACAAAGGUGACUGCCAUUUCAAGAAAAUCUCUUCUUGAAUCCUCAUUUUCACUUUCGCACCUUCGAAGUCGAAUGCGUGUAUUGAAUUAACUGAACAUAGGAACUGGAGAUCAUUAAGAGGAAGGGGUGGGUAAAAAAUAAAUUUUGAGCCUUAUAUCCUUUUGUUUCAGAAAAACCGUGAACCAGACCACGUUACAAUCCUUAAAAGACCUAAUUGAGGCAGAGUUUAUUCUGAAAGCAUACUACAACAAGGUUGUGUUAACCUGACUCCAAAUGAUUUUUGUUAAUCAUUUGAUGGCACCAACUUUCAUAUUGUGAAUGACUUGAUCACCAUUGUGUUCUUAUCAAUGACUCGUUCACUGUAUUUCACCCAUUCAUAUCAAUAAACUUUGAUUUCAAAUUUUUGCAUAAGCAUUGAAUUAAAAUUACCAAUUUUGAAUUCAUAUCAAUAAACUUUGAUUUCAAAUUUUUGCAUAAGCAUUGAAUUAAAAUUACCAAUUUUGAAUGAACAAUCUUAUUUGCGAGUCAACACUUAGCAUCAAAGAAAUUCCAACAAUAUACAGUUGAAUUACUUGAUAAAGUGAAAGAAGUCUUGUCAGGGGAAAUUCACUUUGAGUAUCGGUCAAUCCAAGCCAAUCACCCUAAGGGUCAUCGAGCCAAGAGUAAUUUGCUUCAAGACUCAGACCGGGGCAAGCCACCUCAGAGCUCAAUAAGUCCAACUAUCCAAGGAAAGUCAAUCAAGAGUCUACCAUUCCAACAUUUGGUUAGUCAAGUUCAGACUAUUGCAAGUCUCGAACACUUGGGGCAAGCCAUCUUGAGAUCGUCUCAUGUCAAGUUGUUUCCAAACUCACUUUCAAGGUGAAUAUUUUCAAAGACCCAACAGACUGGGGCAAGAUGAGCCACAGAGGGGAAAACCCCUUUCAUGUUUUCAAACUACUCAAACAAAUUCUGCCAUAUGUCAACAACUACUGAUUUUGAGACGAGUGCCCAAAGACUAUGAUAACACGAUUCAUUAAUCCUCCAAAAGAAUCCCAUUGGCUAAGUUGUGGCUAUCAAACUUGAUAGAAUUCUCCUUUGACAAUAUCUAUCACAAAAUAUUUGGUUGAGUUCUCGGUGUUAAGGAAUCAUGACCUCCAUAAAAGCCUUUACAAACUCCCAGUCCACUCAAGUGUCAGCACUUUCAUAUCAUGGUCAUUCAUAUAUCAUGCAUAAAAAAAAUAAAAAUAAAAAUCCAAAUCAUGCAUAGCCGAAAUGUACUUCGUGCUCAUUUUGCAUUGACCCAGGUCUUGUUGUCGAUCCUAUAUCCUUUGACCUCUAAUUCCAGUUUGUCUUUGGUGCCCUUAAACCAUCAUCUGGUUUUUGCAGUCAUUUUCAAGUCCAACUCAGUUGGCACUUAUCAAAAUUUUGACCAUGAGGUUCAAUUCCUUUUUGGAUUAUCCGAUGAAUUUCCGGAUUACUCCUUUGUUUAUUGAUGUAUUUCCACAACUUGUCUGAUGUAUUUCUAGAUGUUUCCCCACCUAUCUGAUGUGUUCUCUGAUGUGUUUAUAUUCUGAUGUAUUUAUAGAAUUUCCUUGAUGUAUUACCAGAUGUGUCUGUAUUCAGAUGUAUUUCCAUAAUUUAUGAUGUAUUCUCGAAUAUGCCUGUCUUGUAUUCUGAUGUAUUUCUAGAAUUUCCUUGAUGUAUUACCAGAUGUGUCUGUAUUCUGCUGUAUUUCCGGAAUAUCACUUGUAAUUCUGAUGCAUUUCCAGAAUUUGUUUCUUUUACUCUCUGAUGAAUUCCCAGACAUGUCACUUUUGUUCUGACGCACUUCCAGAACCCCUAUGCCACUCCCUAGAAUUAUUUCAAGACUCAUUGGGGUCUCCUAAAAUUCAGGUGUUACUAGGCAUUAUUCCAAGCUCAGUUGUUACUAGAACUCAUUUUAAACCCAAUUGUCAUUGGCAUCACUGUCACUCUGUACUUAAAAUCCAAUCGUAAUUGGUACUUGAAGUUUGGUUGUUGCCAACAUCAUUUAAAGGUCAGUUGAAGUUGUCACCAAUCCGUUAAAAGCUGGUUGUAAUCCAUUGCUUACAGUCAAAGUCCAAUUAUUGUUGGCAAAAUCUGUUAAAAGCUGGUUGUAAUCCAUUGCUUACAGUCAAAGUCUAAUUGUUGUUGGCAAACUCCGUUAAAAGAUGGUUGUAAUCCAUUGCUUACAGUCAAAGUCCAAUUGUUGUUGGCAAAAUUUAUUAAAAGCUUGUUGUAAUCCAUUGCUUACAGUCAAAGUCCAAUUGUUGUUGGCAAAAUAUGUUAAAAGCUGGUUGUAAUCCAUUGCUUACAGUCAAAGUCUAAUUGUUGUUGGCAAAAUCUGUUAAAAGCUGGUUGUAAUCCAUUGCUUACAGUCAAAGUCCAAUUGUUGUUGGCAAAAUCCGUUAAAAGUUGGUUGUAAUCCAUCACUUACGGUUAAAAGUCCAAUUGUUGUUGGCACGUACAGAGAGUUUGAUUACCCUGUCUUUCCUGAUGGUUCCGUGAAAGUCAUGUAUGACUCAUCAUCUUGAGGAAUUCCCAGAAUCUUGGAGGUUUUUCGUGUUAGAAAACUCCAAUGAUGUUGGUUUUGUUUGAUUUCUUUGUAAAGAAUUAUCAUAGCCUUUUGCAUGGAUGAUCUACUUAUAAGAAGACUCCCGUUUAUCUUUGUUUUGCAUAAAUUCCCUUUUAGGAUUCUCCAAAAUCUGUGAUUGGAUGAAUUUCUUGUGAGAAAUCUCCAGAACUGUCUGGUGUAUCAUAAAGUGUCAGGUCAUGUAUGAACCUGUUGAAUGAAGCUCCCUUUGCGUGUUUUCCAAUAUUGUCAGGUCAUGUAUGAAUCUGUUGUUGAAGUUUUCUUUGGGUUUUUUCCAGUGUUGUCAGGUCACAUAUGAACCAGUUAAUAAAAUAUCUUUGAAACUUCCAGAAGUGUCAGGUCAUGCAUGAACCUGUGGAUAUAAUUUCUUUGAAUUUUCCAGUGUCGUCAGGUCAUGUAUGAACCUAUUGACAAAACUCCCUUUGAUUUUUCCCAAGUAUUGACAGGUCAUGUCUGAACCUGUUGUUGAAAUGUUUUGUAUAUUCCAACGAUGUCAGGUCAUGUAUGAGCCUCCUGAUGAAAUUUUCUUUGUAUGUUUUCCAGUAUUGUCAGGUCAUGUUUGAACUUGUUGCCAUGGAACCUUUGAUAAUCCCGCAACUUAUCAAGUCAUGAUCGAACCUGUUAUGAAACUCUUUGAAUAUUCCAAAUGGUCAGGUCAUGUUUGAACCAGUUGUUAAAAAUUCUUUGAAUAUUCAAGUGUUGUUAGGUCAUGUUUUAACUAGUUGUUAAAAAUGAUUUGGAUAUUCAAAGUGUUAUUAGGUCAUGUUUGAAACAGUUGUUGAAAAUUCUUUGAAUAUUUCAAGUGUUGUUAGGUCAUGUUGAACCAGUUGUUGAAAAUUCUUUGAGUAAGUCAAGUGUUGUCAGGUCAUGUAUGAACCUGUUGUUAAAUUCUUUGAAUCGUUCCUGUUUUGUCAGGUCAUGUAUGAACGCUGUUGUUCAACUUUAUUCCAGUAAUUACCAGGUCAUGUCUGAACCUGUUUUGAAGAAUCUUUCUCUUAUUGAUAUUUCAGUGUUCUCAGGUCAUGUAUGAACUGUUGAUAUAUCUCUUUUUCUGAACUUUUUCUGAGUUUGUUAGGUCAUGUUUGAACUUGCUGUCAGAACCGUUCUUGGUAUUCCCCAGCAUUGUCAGGUCAUGUAUGAACUCGUUGCUGUUGAGCCUUUAUUCCAGUAUUACCAGGUCAUGUCUGAACCUGUUUCGAAGAAUCUUUUCUUUGAUUAUUCCAGUGUUGUCAGGUCAUGUAUGAACCUGUUGCUGAACCUUUUGUUCCAAUGUUGUCAAGUCAUGUAUGAACUUGUUGUGGAAACUUUCUCAAAAUGUUCAAGUUGGUCAUCAGGUCAUGUAUGAACCUGUUGAUGUACUCUUUUUGAAUUUUUCUGAGUUUGUUAGGUCAUGUCUGAACCUGUUGUCAGAACUUCUCGAUAUCCCCCAGCAUUGUCAGGUCAUGUAUGAACUUGCUGUCGAUCUUUCAUUCCAGUAUUACCAGGUCAUGUAUGAACCUGUUUUGAAGAAUCUUUCUCUAUGAUUGUUUCAGUAUUAUCAGGUCAUGUAUGAACCUGUUGUAGAAACUUUUCUUAUUCAGGUUUAGUAAGUCAUGUGUGAACUUACUGCCGAAAUCUCUUGUAUUCUAAGUGUCGUUCAUCGAAUUUCACUUUGAGUGCUCUCUAGUGGGUCUCUGAUUCUCCAGCAGGAUUUUUUUUCCCCAGCGAGUUGGUUUUUACCAUUUGUCUGUCUCCCUGUAGACCAUCAUUAUUCCCCACAUAUCUUUAUUUCAUUCUGUAUCCAUCAUAAAGCAUCAUGCUAGGGUUUAUCUUAUGUCUGAUCAUAUCCCUAGCAAAUCAAAUGAAAAAGAGUCAUUCAUUCAGGCAUUCAUCUCAUAUCAUAUCCUAUCAUUCGCAUUUCAGGAUCAAAAUUCGGGUCUUCUUAGUAUUUAACUAUCUCCCACUAUGAUUAUAUGAAGAGUGUACUUCUUCAUAUUCUCACGUUGAAGAUACUUAAAUAGGGGCAACUGUCACACCCCAAUUUUGACCCUGAAUCGUCGAUUCAACACAUUCAUCAUAGCUGUUGCAUGUCUACAUAGCAUACCAUGCAUUCCAUACCGCAUAAUGCCUAGAAUAUCAGUCGAAAUAAUUUUUUUGGAUCUACAGACAAACCGGUUGAAUUAAUUAUCAGAUGUGUGUCAAAACAGCGGGUGAAAAAGUUUCAAAAUCAAACUUGAAGACAUCAGUUUUAUUAAUCUAUGUUUCACGUAGUUUAAUCUGGUAUGCUCGAUUUAUUUUUCAGCUAAUUCUUCGGCCACUUUUUGAUCAGCUCAAGCCUGUUUAACCGGUCAAAAUUUAUUUCAAAAUUGGCUCAAACGCUAUAUGUUUCCGAGAAGUUUAUUUCGCACGGAUCAUUUUGGUGCAUUCAUUUUAGUUUGUUGAGCAUUUUUGCGUCCAACUUUUAUUCUUUUUGAGUCAUUUUUAUUUUUACUUUUUUAGUUCAUAAAAAAUAAUUAGAAUGUAUGAUAUAUUCAACUUGAUUUUGUUUAUGUUUUAUUUUAAUUUUUUCAAUUUAGUUUCAAAAUUCAUUUUAUUUUCAAAAAUAUAGUAUUUUUUAGUUCAUAAAAAAUAAUUAGAAUGUAUGAUAUAUUCAACUUGAUUUUGUUUAUGUUUUAUUUUAAUUUUUUUCAAUUUAGUCUCAAAAUUCAUUUUAUUUUAAAAAAUAUAGUACAAAGGGCAUGGAUUUUGGGAAAGGCCAACCCACAAGAAAACUUGGCAGCAACACAGAGAAUCUCUCUCUGGACCAAUAAAGCAUAAAAAGGGAAUAGACAAGAAUUGGCAAUGAAAAAAUAACUUUGACCUUUUCACUAAUUAGAGGUAUAUUCUUACACACUUAAACAAGAGACCACUUUGUUCAUAAAANACACUCAACACGUAAAAAAAAAAAAAAAACAGAAAGAAAAAAGAAGAAAAGUCCGCUUUAACGUCAAAACACCACAAAAUGCUAGGCAAAGUCACAGGGCAUUCCCGAUUUGGACCGGACAAAAGCUUCUAAAGGAAGCAGGUCCAGGGCAAAAAUCAGGAUGCUAGGAAGAAAACACAUCAAAAAGAGGCAUUGUAAUCCUCAACAAAACAAAAAAAAACAAAAACCAAAAAAAAACAAAGGUACUUUCCUGCUUUGCAUUUUUCAAGGAAAAUUCUCAUUUUAUUUUUUUCUCAUGGAAUCUAUUUCUCACUUUCGCACCUUCGAAGUGAAUGCGUGCUAUUGAAUUAAACUCGAACCAUAAGGAGGGAAUUGGAGGAUCUCACUCAUUAAAGAGGGAGGGUGUGGGGUAAAUUUAAAUGUUAAAAAAAAAAAAAAAUAAAUUUUGAGGGCCUUAUACUUUCCUUUUACUCCAUGUUUCCAGAAAAACCGUGAACCAAACCACUGUGUACAAGCCUUUAAAAGACCUAUUUGAGGCAAGAAGUUUAUUCUGGAAGCAUAUACAAACAAUGGAUUUGUGUUUAACCUUGACUCCAAAAUGAUUUUUUGUUAAUCAUCUUUGAUGGCACCAACUUUCAUAUAUGUGAAAUGACUUGAUCACCAUGUUUCCUUGCUUGUUGUUAUUAUCAAUGACUCGUUCACUGUAUUUCACCCAUUUUUCAUAUCAAAAUUAACAAACUUGGUGAUCUUUCAAAUUUUGCAUAACCAGCAUAAAGCAUUGAAUUAAAAUUAGCCAAUUGAGAUAACCAAUUUAUUUCGCCGAGUCACACUUAGCAUCAAAGAAACAAGUCCCAAACAAUUACGUUGACACAUUACUUGUAAAGUUGAAGACAGAAAACAAGUCUUGUAUGUAUCAGGCGAGGAAAUUCACUUUAUGAGAGUUAUCGAUGUCAAAUACCAACACGCCAAUUCACCCUAAGGAUCUGUCUCAUCGAGCCAAAUGCAAAGUCAAUUUGCUUCAAGACUCAAGACCAGGGGCAACGGCCAAAGCCACCUUCGAGCCUCAAUUAUAAGUCAACUAGUCCAGGAGGGGAAAGUCAAUCAAGAACGAGGGUUUCUUACCCAUUAUUCACCAAACAUGAUUGGUUAGGUCGAAGUUUUCCAGGGGACUACUUGCAAGUCUCGAACACUUGGGGCAAGCCAUCUUGAGAUCGUCUAUGUCAAAGUUGUGUUCCAAACUCACGAUUCAAGGUGAAUAUUUUUUUUUCAAAAAGACCCAAACAAGACUGGGGGCAAAAGAUGAGACCACAGAGGAGGGGAAAAACCCGUUCCAUGUUUUUCAACUACUCAAACAACAUUCUGCAUAUGUCAAACAACUUACUGAUUUUGUGAGAGAGUGCCCAAAGACUAUGUGAUAAACACGAUUCAUGAAUCCUCCAAAAGAAUCCCACUGGCCUAAGUUUGUGCGCUAUCAAAAACUUUGAGAGAAUUCUCCUGUUGGACAAAUAUCUAUCAACAAAAUAUUUGGGGGGGGGGGUUGCAGUUCUCGGUUUGUUAUUUGUUAAGAAUCAUUGACCUCCAUAAAAGCCUUUACAAACUCCCAGCAUCCACUUCAAGUGUCAAGCACUUUCAGAUCAUGGGUCAUUCAUAUAUUCAUGAUAAAAAAAAUAAAAAAUAAAAAUCCAAAUCAUGCCAUAGCCGAAAUGUUACUUCGUGCUCAUUUUGCAUUGACCCAGGUCUUGUUGCGUCCUAUUAAUCCGUUUGACCUCUUAAUUCCAGUUUGUCUUUGGCUGCCCUUAAACCAUCAUCUGGUUUUUUGCAAGUCAGUCAUUUUUCAAGUCCAACUCAGUUGGCACUUAUCAACAUUUUGACCCAUUGACGGUCAAAUUCUUUUUGGAUUAUCCGAUGAAUUGCGGAUUACUCCUUUGUUUAUUGAUGUAUUUCCGACAACUUGUCCUGAUGCUAUUCUAGAUGUUCCCCACCUAUCUAUUGUGUGCUCUGAGGUGUGUUAUUAUUCGGAUGCAUUUUAUAGGAAUUUCCCUUGAAUGUAUUCACCAGAUGUUCUGUAUUCAGAUUACUUUCCAUUAAUUUAUGAUGUAUUUUCUCGAAUGAUGCCUGUCUUGUAUCUGAUUGAUUGCUAGAAAUUUCCUUCGAAUGUAUUACCAGACAUGCAUUGUCUGUAUUCUGCUGUAUUUACCGGAAUAUCACUCUGUGAAUUUCUGAUGCUAUUUCCAGCAAAUUUGUCUUCUUUUAGCUCUCGGAUGAAUUCCCAGACAUGGUCACUUGUGUUCUGACGACUUCCAGGAACCCCCUAAGUGCCACUCCCCUAGACAUUAUUCUCAAGACUACAUUGGGCGUCUCCUAAAAUCAGGUGUUACUAGCAUUAUCUCCAGCUCAGGUGUUACUAAGAACUCAGGUUUUAAACCCGAAUUGUCAUUGGGCAUUCACUGUCACUCGUACUUAAAAAUCCAAUCGUAAUUGGUACUUGAAGUUUGGGUUGUUGCCAACCAUCAUGUUAAAGGUCAGUUGAAGUUGUCACCAAUCCGUUAAAAGCGGGUUGUAAUACCAAUUGCUUCACAGUCAAAGGUCCACUUAUGGUUUGGCAAAAUCUGUUAAAAGCUGGUUGAAUCCCAGUGGAUUACGAGUCAAAGGUAUUGUUUUGGCAAACUCCGUUAAAAGAUGCCGAUUGUGCUCAUCCAUUUGCUUACAGUCCAAGUCAAUUGGUGUUGGCAAAAUUUAUUACAAAGCUUGUGCUGUAAUCCAGUUGCUUACAGUCCAAAGUCCAAUUGUUGUUGCGCAAAAUAUGUUUAAAGCUGGUUGUCUCAGUUGCUUACAGGCAAAGGUCUAGUGUGUUGGGAAUCUGUUAAAAGCUGGUUGUAAUCCUUGCUUCAUCAAGUCCAAUUGUGUUGCAAAUCCGUUAAAAGCUUGGUUGUAAUCCAUCAUUUACGGGUUAAAGUCAAAUUGUUGUUGGCACGCUACAGAGAGUUUGAUUACCCUGGUCUUUCCUGAUGGUUCCGUUGAAGUCAUGUAUGACUCAUCAUCUUGAGGAAUUCCCAGAUCUUGGAGGUUUUUCGUGUUAGAAAAACUCCAAAAUUGAUUGGUUGUUUUGUUGAUUCUUUUAAAGAAUUAUCAUAGCCUUUUGCAUGGAUGAUCUACUUAUAAGAAGACUCCCGUUAUCUUGUUUUGCAUAAAUUCCCUUUGUGGAUUCUCCAAAAUCUGUGAUUGGAUGAAUUUCUUGUGAAAAUCUCCAGAACUGUCUGGUGUAUCAUAAGUGGCAGGUUCAUGUAUGAACCUGUUGAAUGAAGCUCCCUGCGUGUUUUCCAAUAUUGUCAGGUCAUGUAUGAAUCUGUUGUUUGAAGUUUUCUUGGGGUUUUUUCCAGUGUUGUCAGGUCCACAUAUGAACCAGUUAAAUAAAAUAUCUUUGAAACUUGCCAGAAGUGUCAGGUCAUGCAUGAACCUGUGAUAUUAUUUCUUUGAAUUUUCCAGUGUCGUCAGGUCAUGUAUGAACCUAUGACAAAACUCCCUUUGAUUUUUUCCCAAGUAUUGAGGUCAUGUCUGAACCUGUGUUGUUUGAAGUGUUGUAUAUUCCACGAUGUCAGGUCAUGUAUGAGCCUCCUGAUGAAAUUUUCUUGUAUGUUUUCCAGUAUUGUCAGGUCAUGUUUGAACUUGUUGAUGGAACCUUUGAUAUCCCGCAACAUUAUCAAGUCAUGAUCGAACCUGUUAAUGAAACUCUUUGAUAUUCCAAAUGGUCAGGUCAUGUUUGAACCAGUUGUUAAAAAAUUCUUGAAUAUUCAAGUGUGUUAGGUCAUGUUUAACUAGUUGUUAAAAAGUUGAUUGGAUAAUCAAAGUGUUAUUAGGUCAUGUUGAACCAGUUGUUGAAAAUCUUUGAAUAUUUCAAGUGUUGUUAGGUCAUGUUUGAACCAGUUGUUGAAAAUUCUUUGAGAGUCAGUGUUGUCAGGUCAUGUAUGAACCUGUUGUUGAAAUUCUUUGAAUGUUCCUGUUUUUGUCAGGUCAUGUAUGAACCUGUUGUUAACCUUUAUUCCAGUAAUUACCAGGUCAUGUCUGAACCUGUUUUGAAGAAAUCUUUCUCUAUUGAUUAUUUCAGUGUUCUCAGGUCAUGUAUGAACUGUUGAUAUACUCUUUUUGAACUUUUUCUGAGUUUGUUAGGUCACUGUUGAACUUGCUGUCAGAACCGUUCUUGGUAUUCCCCAGCAUGUUCCAGGUCAUGGAUGAACUCGUUGGCUGUUGAGCCUUUAUUCCAGUAUUACCAGGUCAUGUCUGAACCUGUUUCGAAGAAUCUUUCUUUGAUUUUCCAGUGUUGUCAGGUCAUGUUAUGAACCUGUUGCUGAACCUUUUGUUCCAAUGUUGUCAAGUCAUGUAUGAACUUGUUGUGGAAAACUUUCUCAAAUGUUCAAGUUGGUCAUCAGGUCAUGUAUUGAACCGUUGAUGUGUACUCGUUUUUGAAUUUUCUCUGAGUUUGUUAGGGCAUGUCUGAACCUGUUGUCAGAACUUCUCGAUAUCCCCCAGCCAUUGUCAGGUCAUGUACUUGAACUUGCUGUCGAUCUUUAUUCCAGUAUUACCAGGCAUAGUAUAACCUGUUUUAAGAAUUUUCUCUAUGAUUGUUUCAGUAUUUCAGGUCAUGUAUGAACCUGUUGUAGAAACUUUCUUAUUCAGGUUUAGUAAGUCAUGUGUGAACUACUGCCGAAAUCUCUUGUAUUCUAAGUGUCGUUCAUCGAAUUUCACUUUGAGUGCUCUCUAGUGGGUCUCUGAUUCUCCAGCAGGUUUUUUUUCCCCAGCGAGUUGGUUUUACCAUUUGUCUGUCUCCCUGUAGACCAUCAUUAUUCCCCCAUAUCUUUAUUUCAUUCGUAUCCAUCAUAAAGCAUCAUGCUAGGUUUAUUCUUAUGUCUGAAUCAUCCCUAGCAAAUCAAAUGAAAAAGAGUCAUUCAUUCAGCAUUCAUCUCAUAUCAUAUCCUAUCAUUCGCAUUUCAGGAUCAAAAUUCGGGUCUUCUUAGUAUUUAAACUAUCUCCCACUAUGAUUAUUAUGAAGAGUGUACUUCUUCAUAUUCUCACGUUGAAGAUACUUAAAUAGGGCAACUGUCACACCCCAAUUUUGACCCUGAAUCGUCGAUUCAACACAUUCAUCAUAGCUGUUGCAUGUUCUACAUAGCAUACCAUGCAUUCCAUACCGCAUAAUGCCUAGAAUAUCAGUCGAAAUAAUUUUUUUGGAUCUACAGACAAACCGGUUGAAUUAUUAUCAGAUGUGUGUCAAAACAGCGGGUGAAAAAGUUUCAAAAUCAAACUUGAAGACAUCAGUUUUAUUAAUGUCACGUAGGUAAUCUGGUAUGCUCGAUUUAUUUUUCAGCUAAUUCUCGGCCACUUUUGAUCAGCCAAGCCUGUUUAACCCGGUCAAAAAUUUAUUUCAAAAUAUGGCUCAAACGCUAUAUGUUUCCGAGAAGUUUAUUUCGCAGCGACAUUUUGGGGCAUUCAUUUUAGUUUGUUGAGCACUUUUUGCGUCACAACUUUAUUCUUUUUGAGUCAUUUUUAUUUUUACUUUUUUAGUUCAUAAAAAAUAAUUAGAAUGUAUGAUAUAUUCAAUUGAUUUUGUUUAUGUUUUAUUUUAAUUUUUUCAAUUUUAGUUUCAAAAUUCAUUUUAUUUUCAAAUAUAGUAUUUUUUUAGUUCAUAAAAAUAAUUAGAAUGUAUGAUAUAUUCAACUUGAUUUCUGUUUAUGUUUUAUUUUAAUUUUUUUCAAUUUAGUCUCAAAAUUCAUUUUAUUUUAAAAAUAUAGUACAAAGGCUGGAUUUUGUGGAAAGGCCAACCCACAAGAAAAACUUGCAGCAACACAGAGAAUCUCUCUCUGGACCAAUAAAGCAAUAAAAGGGAAUAGACAAGAAUUGGCAAUGAAAAAAUAACUUUGACCUUUCACUAAUUAGAGGUAUAUUCUUACACACACUUAAACAAGAGACCACUUUGUGUCAUAAAAAAGAAGAAAACCACAUUCAGACCAUGGAUCCCAAAAAGCAUGCGCCUACUAAAAACUCUCAUGUCUCAGAAAAAGACAAGUACUGUUCUCAAGGAGAAACUCAGAGGCAUGUCAUUUUCCUUUUACAAAAAAACAUUACACCAUAUAUACUUAAAAAAAACUCACAUAUGGACUCAGUAAAAAUACUCUUCCCUGCAUUUUUUUUAACAAAACAAAACACAAUAUCAGUAAACCAACUCAUGGACCAUCCACCGUCAUACUCCCUCCGCGCUCAAAUAACUUCCACCGGAACGACCCUUACAAGCCUCCAUAAACCUUCGAACUCCUCCAAAAAAAUCAUCACAUUCUCUUCAAUCUUCUCAAUAUCUCUCAUUCUCUCUUCAUCAACGGUGAUUCCCUCUCCUCCACUUUCAGCCAUGUCGACCGUCGCUCACCAAGCCCAAGAAAACCGCUGCAGCAAAGAAGCCACUUUCUCAUCGCCACUUUCGCUGAGAUGAUGAUAACUGAAGCAAUCACAAACCUGAAAGAAAGAACCGGUUCAAGCCAAUAUG